AGAUUUAUAAGAGAUUUACUAGGGUUGUUGGCAGCCCUAAUAGAUUGUUUUCAUGUUAGAUUUGAUGGGAAAGAAGACUCCCAUUAGGACUCUUUGUUUCUCUUUUUUUUUAUCACCUUAAGAUUCAUGUGGAGAAAAAAUUAGGGCCAGGUAUCACAACCGGAGUCAACAAUAGCUCUUUAGAAGAGAAAGAGAUGGUUUGGUACUGGAGUCUCUAUAUUUUUUUAGAGAGAUAAAGUGGAUGAAAAGAGAGAAAGUAGAGAGAUAAAAUAGUAUCUAAGAUCCUAUCAUCAUCUAAAAAGAGAAAGUAGGAGAGAGAUAACAGAG
rnacentral:lncRNA from 1 species